GAUGAACGCUAGCUACAGGCUUAACACAUGCAAGUCGAGGGGAAACGAUAUUGGAAGCUUGCUUCCGAUAGGCGUCGACCGGCGCACGGGUGAGUAACGCGUAUCCAACCUGCCCAUCACUUGGGGAUAACCUUGCGAAAGUAAGACUAAUACCCAAUGACGUCUCUAGAAGACAUCUGAAGGAGAUUAAAGAUUUAUCGGUGAUGGAUGGGGAUGCGUCUGAUUAGCUUGUUGGCGGGGUAACGGCCCACCAAGGCGACGAUCAGUAGCCGGACUGAGAGGUUGAACGGCCACAUUGGGACUGAGACACGGCCCAGACUCCUACGGGAGGCAGCAGUGGGGGAUAUUGCACAAUGGGGGAAACCCUGAUGCAGCGACGCCGCGUGGAGGAAGAAGGUUUUCGGAUUGUAAACUCCUGUCGUUAGGGACGAUAAUGACGGUACCUAACAAGAAAGCACCGGCUAACUACGUG
rnacentral:rRNA from 1 species